AUCAGUCAGACGAUUAAAACAUUCACUAUAGGAUAUUCAGACCCUCCAUCACUGCAUUCUGUGCAAGCUGGAAGAUAUGCACUAGGAGGAAGCUUUGCUGGAAUAGAAGGAAGCAGUGAGUGGAGGUUUUGGUCUAAGACAUCGGAAGCUUAAGCUUUAAAGGAACUCCGAGGAUGUUUAGUAGGCUUUUAGGAAAGCCCAAAAAGCAAACCAGCGCCUUGGCAACUAUCGAGAAAUUAUAUGAGACACUUGAAAUGCUCGAGAAAAAGGAGAAAGUUCUCCUUAAGAAGUCUGAUGUUGAGAUCGAAGAGGCUAAACAAUUCACCAAAACUAAAAACAAAAGAGACUCGAGUUUACUUGAUACUAGAAUAUGCAGCUAAAGGUGAACUCUACAAGGAACUACAGAAGUCCAAAUGCUUCAGUGAGAG